GAGGGUAUAGCUCAGUGGUAGAGCAUUCGACUGUAGAUCGAAAGAUCCCCAGUUCAAACCUGGGUGUCUCCU